rnacentral:rRNA from 1 species
GGCACCAAACAAACACGGCGCCAUCGUUUUCGAGGCCCAGGCCCAGGCCCAUCUACCCCCGAAGGCACGCGCACCGGAAGGAAGAAGCGCAGCCGCGCCGCGCAGACAACACCACCCUACUCCAGCGUCGACGCCGUCACGCCGCCAGCCCGCCGUCCCUGAGCAAUGGAGUCGAGGAAGCCGCAGCGCUCCGCUCUCGUCGACAGCUAUGUGGUCCCCGGCGACGUCAUCCUGGACCUCGCCGAUAUGACCAACCAGACUAUCAAGCUCGGCGCCGGUCUGCGCCAGGAUUGUGACACUAUCCAGGCAACUAGUGCUGGGAGGCUUCGACUGUCCAAGCCCAACAAGUACUGGGUGGAGAACUCCCAGAAGAGGUAUGUACCUUCUGUAGAAGAUACGGUUCUUGGUAUUGUAGUUGACACCAAACCAGAUAACUUCUUGGUGGACAUAAAGGGGCCUAAUUUGGCCUUUUUACCAGUUCUUUCAUUUGAAGGUGGUACAAGGAGGAACAUACCGAAGUUUGAGAUUGGUACAUUAAUAUAUGCCAGAGUGGUGAAAGCAAAUAGCAUUAUGAACCCAGAGCUUUCAUGCAUGGAUGCAAGUGGAAAAGCUGCUGAAUUUGGUCAACUGAAAAGUGGUUAUACGUUUGAAACAUCAACUGGCCUGGCAAGAAUGCUUUUAAGUUCCCCAACAUGUCCACUUCUAGAGGCCCUUGGGAAAAAAUUAUCAUUUGAGAUAGCUGUUGGACUGAAUGGUCGAGUAUGGGUGAAUGCUCCUUCGCCAAGUAAUGUCAUUGUUGUAUCAAGUGCAAUUAAAGAAUCAGAAUCUUAUAGUCGCUUACAACAAAAAAGCAUGGUGGAAAAACUCCUGGCUAAACUGUCAUGAUGGGAGCAGGACAUAAUCAGGUACUGUAAAAGGAUUCUGAAUUAUUGUUUGUCAAACGCCGCAGAUGAUUCUGCAACCGGAAAGAUGGCUAGUCACUAUCAUGCACCUUAGCAAGGAAUAGUAGAUGGGAUGGCAUGUAAAAUAGACGCGUUAAAGUGGUUGCUGCUUUUUGAUGAUGCAGGGGCUAAAGCAACCGGUUGAUUGCUAAACAUUCUAAAUCACCGUGUGGAUGUUGUCCUUGCGGAUACAUGGUUUCUUAGCUUUGUAAUAUGCUACUGUAAGAGAUUUGCACAAGGCUGCGUGUGCUGCUCUACUGAAAGAUGAUUGAUGGAUAUUACUCCUAUAUUUUAUAAAUUUAUU